rnacentral:rRNA from 1 species
AUGCACGCUGGCGGCGCGCCUCACACCUGCAAGUCGAACGAUUAAAGCACCUUCGGGUGUGUAUAAAGUGGCGAACGGCUGAGUAACACGUGGGCAACCUGCCCCUUUCAUUGGGAUAGCCACGGGAAACCGUGGAUAAUACCGAAUACUUCGAGACUUCCGCAUGGAAGACUCGAGAAAGCUCCGGCGGAGAGGGAUGGGCCCGCGGCCUGUUAGCUUGUUGGCGGGGUAACGGCCUACCAAGGCAAUGAUGGGUAGCUGGGUUGAGAGACCGACCAGCCAGAUUGGGACUGAGACACGGCCCAGACUCCUACGGGAGGCAGCAGUGGGGAAUCUUGCACAAUGGGCGAAAGCCUGAUGCAGCGACGCCGCGUGCGGGAUGAAGGCCUUCGGGUUGUAAACCGCUUUCAGCAGGGACGAGGCGAAAGUGACGGUACCUGCAGAAGAAGCCCCGGCUAACUACGUG